AAUUUACCCGCGUGUUACGGGCUGAGGCCGGCAGGCUCAGUGUUGUACCACCUAGGGAAGGGGCUGGGGUGUAUGUUUAUCGGGAGGAAGUUUGGUGAGUAUUAAUAGAACGUUUCAUAUGAUCCAGAUUCUGCCCACUUGCCGCUGAAACCACCGAAAAGAUUUAGUUAGAAACCGGAUUAAGUAUUAAGGCCGGAGACAUCUGCGAGCUGGGCCGGUAAAUCCCUGGAGCAGCGCGGUGGGUGUUCGGAGCAGUCCCAAGGCUCAUCUAUUUUAAAUUCAUGUGAUAUAAUACUGCACUCUUUAUAAUAGUUUUUGAUGCCAGAAGAACACAGUCAAACUACAAUGGCAGUUGACGAACUUCAAGCCAUAAUACAAAGAUGUCAAAUUCUAGAAGAAGCUGAUUUCAAAGGAGAAGAUUUUAAUCUGUUUCUGGUGGCAGGUCAGAAAUGUUUAGAAGAUGGAUAUGCAGCUCAGUUAUUAGAAGUAAUUCAAAAUGAGAAAAAUAAGGUUAUCAUCAAGAAUAUGGGUUGGAAUCUCAUUUCUCCUCUUGUUAGAUGUAUUUUCAUGUAUAAGCAAGAAGAUGAUAAGCGAGAACACUGCCUGAGGAUACUAGAUCAGUUGGCACAGAUAUGCAACCCAAAGGAAUUGUUUCUGGGUUUACUUGAGCAAAUUGAGCAAACCUCUGGAGAUCAAGUGUGUCAAACUGUCAUGUUACUGCUUCAGCCUUUGCAGACGGUGCUUUUGAAACUGCAGAACAAGAAGGCCUACUCAGUGGGUUUGUCGUUGGCCAUGAUCAUGAAUCAGCUUACUUCCUUACCUGUACCUUACACGAAACAACAAAUACAAGAAGACAAACUUGGUCUUUGUCAGUGUUGUAAUGCAGUGGUGGACUUUGCUAAACCCUUUGUGAAUGAAGUUGUUAAAAACAUGGAAAAGUCGUCAGAAUACGAUGACAUGGAGCUGAAAGAAGAAUUAUUAAAAUUCUGUAUGAAAAGCCUGAAAUACCCAUUAUUGGCAGCUCAGCUUGAACAACUUGAAGGCAUUGAAGAACAUCCUUUUCGGCAUUUUGCAACUGAAAUUAUAGACAUUUUGUGGAAUAUAAGAGAAUUGAUGCCGUUAGUGGUUUUACAUCAUAAAGGCAAAAGUCCACGCUGGGAGAAUCAGGAGUUUGCAGACAUAGAGCGAAAGAAUUCUGCAGAUUCUUUGGCAUGUCUGUCAUAUCUGAUGUUUGUUCAGCAUUUUGGUAUCGAAUGCUUUCCAGUGGUUUUUAGCCCAGCAUACCUUCUGCUAUGCAAUAUGACACAUAUUGAAGUGCUACUGAAAAGAACAGAAGAAUCUAUGUUAUCUAAAGGACUUGAUCUGUUUGAGAGCAGUUUAUUGAGAAUGGAAGAUAACAGCCUUCUCCAUGACUAUUUAGAAUUCAGAGAUUUCAUUAAUGUACCUCAGGAUUUGGUGAAAAUUAUGACCCUUUGUCCCAUGGAGCAUCUGAGAAAGAAGAGUUUAAGUAUUUUGCAGUUGUUCAUAGACAAGUUUGACACUGAGGGAAAAUAUACAUUAUUCAGGUGUUUACUGAAGACAAGCAACCAUGCUGGUGUGGAAGGAUACAUUAUUAAAAAUAUAAAAGAUCAGAUUCACUUAUCGUUAACGAAGGAAUAUGACAACGUGUGGUUUACAGGACAUCACCUGGUCUCCCUUCUAGAUCUAGUACUUUCGCUUCCAGAGGGUGCUGAGACAGAUCUUCUGCAGAACUCAGACAGGAUUAUGGCAUCACUAAAUCUGCUGAGAUACUUAGUCAUUAAGGAUUGUGAAAGUGAUAAUCAAACUGGUGUAUGGACCACACUCACCAAGAUUGAGCAGAAUUUUUUAAAACCACUGCGUGUAGGACUCAACAUGUCAAAAGCACAUUAUGAAGCAGAAAUAAAAAAUAAGAAAGAAAACAGAAAAGAGGCCCACAGUUCUAACACAGUUUGUUCUGUAACUGUUAGUGGGGAAAAGAUGCCUGCCAUGACUACUGGAAUGCAGCUUCAGGUUUUACACUCGGCUCUCUUCACGUUUGAUUUAAUAGAAAGUGUUCUAGCUCGAGUAGAAGAACUCAUUGAAGUGAAAAUAAAAGCUGUAAUGGAUGAAAAUAGUUAGGUGACUCGUAGCUUGAAAGAAUAUGGCACAAGUUUCAACCCCACCAAUGCAGAAGCUCAAUCAGUGCUUUACAUACAACAGAAGACUUCCAAGGUACCAGACAAGAAGUGGAUUCACACCCGAUUUCCCUCUCCUGUUGGUGCAACGCAUGGAAGUUAUGGUUACCCUGCGCUGCAAGGAUACGGGAAUGUCAUGCUACUUUUCCUAACACUAUUCGGCUGUGGGAAGCUGAAUUCUAUGGCUGCGUAUGUAACAACUGAACAAUACCAUAUCCUAAUCAGUGGUCUGCUGCAAAACUAUUAAAGGAAUUGCAGCAACAUCAUUGUGGACUUGAAGAGAGAAGCUAAUUUAAUUUUGAUACAGCCAGAGAAGUAAAUGCAAAGAAAAAA